rnacentral:rRNA from 1 species
UACAGAGGUCUCGAGCGUUGUUCGGAUUCAUUGGGCGUAAAGGGCGCGUAGGCGGCGGGGUAAGUCUGGUGUGAAAUCUCGGAGCUCAACUCCGAAAUUGCACUGGAUACUGCUCUGCUAGAGGGCUGGAGAGGAGAUCGGAAUUCACGGUGUAGCAGUGAAAUGCGUAGGUAUCGUGAGGAAGACCAGUGGCGAAGGCGGAUCUCUGGACAGCUCCUGACGCUGAGGCGCGAAGGCUAGGGGAGCAAACGGG